AUGUUCUUACGAACUGUAUCGUUGGGAACUGUUAAGAGGCUUUAUUUUUUCUUUCUCGAUGACGAUAACUUCUUUCGCACGAAAGAGGUUGAUUAAUCUACGAUUGAAUUUCCUUUCGUUUGUUAUAGCGAAUCUUCUUCUAUCCUUCGUUUCCGGGAGAAACUAUGUAACAAGGUUGCAACGAGAGAGGGAAUUCCAUUAGUGACGUUAACAUAGCGAGGGAAUGAUAAGGAUCAGAGAUGAAGUGAUAAGUUAUUUUUAACAGUGGGUUUUCGUUGUGACCCUUGGUGGAGCAUGAUCUGCAAUUAUAAUUGCCAUGUGUGGAUAAGCAACGUUGCUUGAAAAUAUCACACGGCCCCUUUCUAUAAAAUACAAUAGCUUACGGGUGUCUUGGUUGUUGGUGGAGAGAAAGAAUCAAAGAAGUUUAAAGAUUCGUUCUUCAACUUCGAAUGUUCCAUUUUGUAUUUUUUUUUGUCAUCAAAAGUAAGGUAUUCACACAAUUCAAAUAUUUUUUUUAUAAUCAAUUAGCAUUCAUUAUCAUUGGCCGAAAUAUAUACUAAUUAUAUCUCCUAUUUCGAAAUCUAUGUUCAACUUCAACUUUGUAAACUUCAACAAAAAUUUUCGGUUUUCAUAAUAAAUUAAAAAAGAAAGGAAGGAAAAGAAAGAGAUCGAGUUAAAUCCAUAAAGAUAUUUAAAUCCAUAAAGAAUUGACUGGCUAAUUCUAACAUUCAUAUCAUUCAUAUCACCAUUCGUUCGUAUCAAAAAAUAUAUCAAAAAAGACAAACAAAAUUCACUUUAACUUCGAUUUCAACUUUUGUCCACGCAACGAUAAGUAGAAAUAUCGGCUAACACAUUUACAUGGAGAAACAACGCGAAACAAAAUCCUCGUUGGCGUUAAAGUUCUCGCACAAAGCACCGGGAUUACACGGUGGAAACGAAUCGCCACGAGUUGCACGUUCCAAACUCCAGCAUGUAUAAUUAUCGUGGACCAGCAACUUUCGUCGAUUCGAAAGAAUCUUAUCGAUCGAAAAAGAGAUUUUGCAUUUUAAGAAUCGACCUAUGAUUGCAACAUGAUGACAUGAUGAUACACGCGAUUAACGAUCAUGAAACAAGGGCAUCACGUUGCACAAUGCUGGCAAUCGAGUGUAACUAGUUUGUAGUGUGAGGUUAGAUUGAAAAUUUGGCGGAUGAUUGUUCGGAAUUUAGUGUAUGGAUUUUACACGGGGAAAAUUUUAUUAGUAGAUGGAAAUUGAUAUGGUAGAGCGUCAAUUAUUCGAACUGGUAUUGGGAUCGAGGAUUGUAUUUUCGGGAAAUCGAAUUGUUCGGAUAAUGAAACAUGCAUGUGUUUACUGAAUUUAUAAUAGUAAGGAUUAUAGUUAAAAUUAUUAAAUGAGAGUGCUGUUAUUAUAAUUUGAGAUGCAAUUGUUAGAAGUGAUUCAUUAACUACAUCGAGGUUAAUUAUUUGAUAUUUAUUAAACGACGUUGUACGUUUUAAUGCUAAAGUAAAAAACUUUUUCAAAAUAUUAUAUAUAAAGCUAACGAGUUUGACUUUUUGUGCGUGUUCAAUUACUUUGUUUUUGCGGAGUUAAAUGCGAAUAAAUAAAAAAAUUGUAUUAAUAAAAAAAAUACGGUUAA